CCGUACACAAAAGCGCAUGUGCUGUGAGCUCGAUGAGUAGGGCGGGACACGUGGUAUCCUGUCUGAAUAUGGGGGGACCAUCCUCCAAGGCUAAAUACUCCUGACUGACCGAUAGUGAACCAGUACCGUGAGGGAAAGGCGAAAAGAACCCCGGCGAGGGGAGUGAAAAAGAACCUGAAACCGUGUACGUACAAGCAGUGGGAGCACCCUUUGGGGUGUGACUGCGUACCUUUUGUAUAAUGGGUCAGCGACUUAUAUUCUGUAGCAAGGUUAACCGAAUAGGGGAGCCGGAGGGAAACCGAGUCUUAAUUGGGCGUUAAGUUGCAGGGUAUAGACCCGAAACCCGGUGAUCUAGCCAUGGGCAGGUUGAAGGUUGGGUAACACUAACUGGAGGACCGAACCGACUAAUGUUGAAAAAUUAGCGGAUGACCUGUGGCUGGGGGUGAAAGGCCAAUCAAACCGGGAGAUAGCUGGUUCUCCCCGAAAGCUAUUUAGGUAGCGCCUCGUGAAUUCAUCUCCGGGGGUAGAGCACUGUUUCGGCUAGGGGGCCAUCCCGGCUUACCAACCCGAUGCAAACUGCGAAUACCGGAGAAUGUUAUCACGGGAGACACACGGCGGGUGCUAACGUCCGUCGUGAAGAGGGAAACAACCCAGACCGCCAGCUAAGGUCCCAAAGUCAUGGUUAAGUGGGAAACGAUGUGGGAAGGCCCAGACAGCCAGGAUGUUGGCUUAGAAGCAGCCAUCAUUUAAAGAAAGCGUAAUAGCUCACUGGUCGAGUCGGCCUGCGCGGAAGAUGUAACGGGGCUAAACCAUGCAC
rnacentral:rRNA from 1 species